rnacentral:rRNA from 1 species
UCUGGUUGAUCCUGCCAGUAGUUAUAUGCUUGUCUCACAGAUUAAGCCAUGCAUGUCUAAGUACACACGAAUUAAAAGUGAAACCGCAAAAGGCUCAUUAUAUCAGUUAUGGUUCCUUAGAUCGUUAACAGUUACUUGGAUAACUGUGGUAAUUCUAGAGCUAAUACAUGCAAUUAAAACAUGAACCUUAUGGGACAUGUGCUUUUAUUAGGCUAAAACCAAGCGAUCGCAAGAUCGUUAUAUUGGUUGAACUCUAGAUAACAUGCAGAUCGUAUGGUCUUGUACCGACGACAGAUCUUUCAAAUGUCUGCCCUAUCAACUUUUGAUGGUAGUAUCUAGGACUACCAUGGUUGCAACGGGUAACGGGGAAUCAGGGUUCGAUUCCGGAGAGGGAGCCUGAGAAACGGCUACCACAUCUAAGGAAGGCAGCAGGCGCGUAAAUUACCCACUCCCAGCUCGGGGAGGUAGUGACGAAAAAUAACAAUACAGGACUCAUAUCCGAGGCCCUGUAAUUGGAAUGAGUACACUUUAAAUCCUUUAACAAGGACCAAUUGGAGGGCAAGUCUGGUGCCAGCAGCCGCGGUAAUUCCAGCUCCAAUAGCGUAUAUUAAAGUUGUUGCGGUUAAAACGUUCGUAGUUGAACUUGUGCUUCAUACGGGUAGUACAACUUACAAUUGUGGUUAGUACUAUACCUUUAUGUAUGUAAGCGUAUUACCGGUGGAGUUCUUAUAUGUGAUUAAAUACUUGUAUUUUUUCAUAUGUUCCUCCUAUUUAAAAACCUGCACUAGUGCUCUUAAACGAGUGUUAUUGUGGGCCGGUACUAUUACUUUGAACAAAUUAGAGUGCUUUAAAGCAGGCUUCAAAUGCCUGAAUAUUCUGUGCAUGGGAUAAUGAAAUAAGACCUCUGUUCUGCUUUCAUUGGUUUUUCAGAUCAAGAGGUAAUGAUUAAUAGAAGCAGUUUGGGGGCAUUAGUAUUACGACGCGAGAGGUGAAAUUCUUGGACCGUCGUAG